UGAGGAAUAUUGGUCAAUGGGCGAGAGCCUGAACCAGCCAAAUCGCGUGAAGGAAGACUGCCUUAUGGGUUGUAAACUUCUUUUAUACAGGAAUAAAAAAGGGGACGUGUCCCUUAUUGCAUGUACUGUAUGAAUAAGCAUCGGCUAACUCCGUGCCAGCAGCCGCGGUAAUACGGAGGAUGCGAGCGUUAUCCGGAUUUAUUGGGUUUAAAGGGUGCGCAGGCGGGCUUUUAAGUCAGCGGUGAAAUCUCGGGGCUUAACUCCGAAACUGCCGUUGAAACUGGGAGUCUUGAGUAUGGAUGAAGUAGGCGGAAUUCGUUGUGUAGCGGUGACAUGCUUAGAUAUAACGAGGAACUCCGAUUGCGUAGGCAGCUUACUAAGCCAUAACUGACGCUCAAGCACGAAAGCGUGGGGAUCAAACAGGAUUAGAUACCCUGGUAGUCCACGCCGUAAAACGAUGAUUACUAGUUGUAUGCGAUAUACCGUAUGUGACUAAGCGAAAAGCGAUAAGUAAUCCACCUGGGGAGUACGCCGGCAACGGUGAAACUUAAAUGAAUUGACGGGGUCAUAGCUGUUUCCUG
rnacentral:rRNA from 1 species